AGAAGGUGGGGGGACCAGUGGCUUAAUGGUCAGAGGAUGAAACUUAGGAAGGACCUCCCUUAAUUCAUCAGGGCUCUCAUGCCUGAAUUGCAUUCACAUGACCAGAGCAGCACUGUGAUGACCAGAACUUCAAGGCCAUCUCAAGAUGGAUUGUAGACAUCAUAACAAGCUUGCUCCUUGAUGGACUGGAAUAUAUUUGAACAACUUUUGUUCCAUCACAUGAAAUUAGCUAAUCAGAGAUGGAGGUUUCGCUAUCAAAAAUAGAAAAUCUACACAGCCACCACUAUAAAAAUACCCCAUAUUUAUUUACAAACCUAGAAUACUCAGAAUAAUAUAAGGCAACUGAAGUGGUCAUUUAAAGCUACUUCCUCCAAAGGAAGUCAUACUGAACUUGGUAAAUAUAUGUAGAAUUACAUAUGAAGCCUGCAUUGCAACAAUAAAAUCAUAUUGGCUGCUUUCAAGAUCAAAGCACAGAAUUUAAAA